AGAGUUUGAUCCUGGCUCAGAACGAACGCUGGCGGCAUGCCUAACACAUGCAAGUCGAACGAACCCUUCGGGGUUAGUGGCGCACGGGUGCGUAACGCGUGGGAACCUGCCUUUAGGUUCGGAAUAACAGUUGGAAACGACUGCUAAUACCGGAUGAUGUCUUCGGACCAAAGAUUUAUCGCCUUUAGAUGGGCCCGCGUUGGAUUAGCUAGUUGGUGGGGUAAAGGCCUACCAAGGCGACGAUCCAUAGCUGGUCUGAGAGGAUGAUCAGCCACACUGGGACUGAGACACGGCCCAGACUCCUACGGGAGGCAGCAGUGGGGAAUAUUGGACAAUGGGCGAAAGCCUGAUCCAGCAAUGCCGCGUGAGUGAUGAGGGCCUUAGGGUUGUAAAGCUCUUUUACCAGGGAUGAUAAUGACAGUACCUGGAGAAUAAGCUCCGGCUAACUCCGUG
rnacentral:rRNA from 1 species